UGAUCUUUCUCUUAUAUGUAUUUUUUUGUUUCUCUUUUUAUAUGCUUUUUAGAGAUGACCGAAUUUGGGUCUCAAUUUUGUUAGUUUGAUUGCUGAGUUUUCUUGUUGAGUCUAAAGCUUGAUAAUUUUGCCUGGGUUUGAAAAUUGGGGGUUUUUGGCAUGGCCUAAUGUGCAUUGAUUGAAUGAGAAGUGCUGACAAUUUAACAGAUGGGAUCAUACAUUGAAGAUUUUAAGUGCUCUUGGUUGGUAGCAAAAGCAUUGGAUCUUAGCAAUGAAGAGCAAAAGAAAGUGUUAUAAAUGACCAAGUCAAAAUUCAUAGCAAAAAUUGCAUGAUUUGUAUCAGAAAUUGCAACUGAGGUUGGAGACUUGAAGCAUGCAAGACUUUUUCUCUCCUUAUUAUGUGAGAAUUAUGAAUUAUGAUGGUGGAAAAUUAUUUAUUGUAACUAUCAUGUAAUGAUGUUAUUAUGACCUUGUAAUCAAAGAGAAUAUCUCAAUGGAACUCUUGUUAUUAAGAUCAAAGUGUACAUUUUAAUAAAACUUUGUUUAUUUUGAAUUGAAUUAUUUUCUUGUCUA